UGGGGAAUUUUGCACAAUGGAGGAAACUCUGAUGCAGCGACGCCGCGUGAGUGAUGAAGAUCUUCGGAUUGUAAAACUCUGUCCUUAGUGAAGAUAAUGACAAUAACUAAGAAGCAAGCCCUGGCUAAAUACGUGCCAGCAGCCGCGGUAAUACGUAUGGGGCAAGCGUUGUCCGGAAUUAUUGGGCGUAAAGGGUACGUAGGCGGUUUAAUAAGUCCUAAUUAAAAGGCUAUGGCUCAACCAUAGUAUGGUUAGGAAACUGUUGAACUUGAGUAGAUGAGGGGAAAGUGGAAUUCCAUGUGUAGCGGUGAAAUGCGUAGAUAUAUGGAGGAACACCAAUGGCGAAGGCAACUUUCUGGAAUCAAACUGACGCUGAGGUACGAAGGCGUGGGGAGCAAACAGG
rnacentral:rRNA from 1 species